rnacentral:misc_RNA from 1 species
CUGCAUUUAAUCAUAAACAUUUCCCAAUUUAAUAUUUUAUCACAGGACAACUUUCACAACACAGCUUUCACGUAUUCAUGCUAUACAGGGAGAAUAAAAUAAGCCUCGUAAACUACAAAAUCCUCUAAAUGUUGCUGCCAUGUAAGGAAAAGUAACAUGAUUCAAGAUCUUCAAUCUAUAUCGUGACGAGUGCUGCUGCUUUUUUUCCUUCUUCACAUACUUCGUUGAUCACAAACUUGAUUUUAGUUUACACAACUUUUUUCUUCCAUGAACCCGCAAUUUAGCAAGAAUUUGUUCCCGCAUCAACCAUCAGUGAUAAUGAUUUAUCAGCUGCAGUUACAUUAUGAACGCUUCUUUUUCUCUUGUUUUCAUGUAGCCGCAUUGAUUUGUUUAAAGCCUGGUCAGCCUUGGAGACAAUUUUUGAGACAGUGAAUCCUGCUACUUCAAAAAUCUGUGAUCUAAAAGGAAUUAAAGAAUUACGAAGAACAACAUCAACUCCUUCAUAUGUCCAUGCCCCCAGGACCGCCUCUCCUUUAAGUCCAAUAGCAAACCAACCCAGACCAACAGCAGCAAUAUCUACAGAACUUGAAUCCCAAUUGCUGCCAGAGAUGUGGAAUUCCUUUCUAACCCAUUUUCCAAGCUCUUGAACUCGUUUCUCCCCAAUUGGAGGCUGUAAUUGGAGACCAAAAUGGUCUUCUAACAUAGUGCUUGCAUUUUCUGUUUUCCCCAUAUGUAAGGGAAGAUAUGGAGAUGCCCAUACUGUGACAUACACAGAAUCUGCAGAUAAUUCUUCAAUGUCCAACCUUAUUAGCCCACCAAUAUGAACUGAAUGGCCUUCCUUGACUCUAUAUGUCCUUGGUUUCAAUUCCUUACUGAUGUGAACAAGCUUCUGCUCAUCUCUAGUUAGCCUUGUUGUAAUCUGAUGUGGAUUUAAAAGCCCCGGUGUGUCAAAUAACUUUGCCUGCCCAGGAAGAACACCCUCCACCUUGACAAUCCCUAAUGUUGUUCCAGGAACAGGGGCCUCCGUCAAAAGAGAUAACUUCCCUUCAUUUCCACCAGCCCACUUCCCCAUUGCAUUUAUCAAUGUACUUUUACCAGCGUUCUGCAUCCCUACAGCCCACACGUUCCCUCUAGGCCCUGCCAAUGUAAUCACAUCCUCAACCAAAUCCUUCAAUCCCCAGUCUUUAACUGCACUCACAAAAUGCACUUUCUUAAUCACACCGGCACCACCUUCCCUCGCUCUUUGUCUGACCCAAUGCUCUAAUCUAGUAGGUGAUAGAGAAGUGGGCAACAAGUCAAGCUUAGUCACCACAAGUACAAUUCGAGGCACAUUCCCUGAUUUCCCUUCCUUCCAUGCAGUGAAAUUCUCCUCAAUUGCUUCUGAUACUAACUUGGCUACCUUUUUCGGAAAUGACCCAUCAAAAUCCACCGCAUCCACAACCAAAAGAACCACCGAGCGAGCUCCAAUAGCCGACACCAAUCGCCUACCAACGGUGUGAUCGAAAUCGAAUUCUGGCAACAAGUUCUCCACCGUUGGAUCCUUCACUUUUCCGUAGUGUCUCAACGAGUGACACCGCGCGCACACAAUGGGUUUCUCCAUUGCCGAGCUUUGGGUCGAACCAGGAUUAUUGGCAGGGCCUUCAGGGUCAGUAACAACACCCCUUUUCAGGGAUUUUGAGAAUUCGAAUUCCAAUGAAACGGGAAUGAGAUGCUCCCCAGAUUUGUAAUUCGGGUCCUUGAUUGAGGGCUUGGUGAAGAAACCAGGAUGUUUAGGGUUUGAGUCCUGCAUGUGGAUCCCACAGCCGGGGCAAACGGCGGUGGGAUGAGUGGCAUCUUCAUAAUUUCCAUCACGACUGAGGAGCAAAGGAGAAGGUUGGUGUUUCGGCGGUGGGUUUAAACUGGUGGGUUUUGAAGAGAAAAAAGAGAAGGAAAGUGGAGCAGAGGGUAUUGGGAAUUGGUAAAAUUGGGUAUUUGAGAGAGAAGCUAAAGAUUGGGCAAAGGGAGAGAGGAAAAGAAAGGGCUUUAAUUGGGAUUUUGAAGCAGAGAGCUUUCUGGCUAUGAUCAUUUCUGCUCCUCUUUCUUAGUUUGAUUGGUGUUUUUACAAGCCGUAAAACGAAA